CCAAGGUACACUUGAGAGUGUUUUGACGCCUUGAGAGGUCAGACAGAACUGCUUCCCAGAGGGAGGCAGAAUUGCUUAUCCUUCUCAAAAUGUUUCCCCAGAGAUGAGAUCCCACCAACUUCGCUAGCCUAGCAAAAACGCACUAGAAUGAGACAAAUGAAUUCCGAGGAAAAAAACUGAACUCACCGAUCAGUAUUGCUGGGGAAGACGGCUAUGGAAACGGAUGGGCUGACAGUUAUCUACAGUGAGCUGGAGGUCAAGUCUGAGGUUUCACUUAGAAAAGCUGCAGGAAGAACUUGCUCGGUUCCCACACAGGACAAUCAUCUACCUUGUAAAGGAAGCCUAAUUGCUGUAUCCUCAGGAACUAACCGGUUUCCAACCCAUCUGAUCUCUGGAUGGGAGUUUGCAAUGGCAGUAGUCCAACUCGGAAUAUUCUACUUAUUCUUCUAAGAAAAAAGAAAAAAAAAAACCC
ensembl:lncRNA